rnacentral:lncRNA from 1 species
UAGAUACCAUCCACCAUGUCACUGGAGCAGAAGCUGAGAAACUCACAAGCACUAAUCCUCCCUUCUCUAUGCCAGGACAGUGUCCCCAUCUCCUGCCUCCUACUGGAAGAUGACUUAUAGAGAACCUCCACUGGAUAUCUGGUCAUUGGACUUAAGCUCCUGGUGUUUCUGUCACAGGCCUUCGUUGACAUCUGCUAUUUAGUGACAAAGCUGGACUAGAUAUCACUCGGAGCAAUGUGAGGAAGCAGCGAGGACGACCCCCAGAUGGAGCAAACCCGCGCACCGCUGUAUCCCCGUGCUCAGCGCCGACGUCCCCUGCUGCCACCAUGCCCAAAAGAAAGGCUGAAGGGGAUGCUAAAGGAGACAAAACUAAGGUGAAGGACGAGCCACAGAGAAGAUCUGCAAGGUUGUCUGCUAAACCUGCUCCUCCAAAGCCAGAGCCCAAACCUAAAAAGGCCCCCGCGAAGAAGGGAGAGAAGGUGACAGAAGCUGUCAUGCAGGGGCAUUAUGGGUCAAGGACACAGCCUGGCAGAGAGAAGACAGAGCAAACAGAAUUUAACAUGUUCAGAGAAUACAGAUUGAUUCUGUCUGAUCCCAACAUGAGGAAAGGCUGAGGAGAGUGAGAAGUUGGUCCAUGAACACCCU